UACCCAGUGAGAGUGUUGUGUAGUGGUGUUAUCAUUCCAGAUUGGUGUUUAUUGUUUACACACGUGUUUUUGUUAGUUCCAGUGUUUAGUGUGAAUAAAUAAAUGGAUAGUGCAAUUAAUACGGAUGUGAAUGGUGCCGAACCACGAGGGCUAUGCGGUUGGCAGGAGAUUUUUACAGAUUUUGACAGUUGGAUAAAUAAACUCAACAGACAUUUGAACAGAAGAUCUUCACAUGUUAUUCAAUCAUUUGAAUUAAAUUUAGAAGAUUUUCAAAAAAUGCAAAUUGGAAGAAGGGACGCCAUUUCAGAAGAAGAGAAAGAAAACGAGAAAAAAUUAGGUUCUUUAACAUUGCAGCAUCUGUUAGUCGAAGGAUUUAGCAUAGAAAAUGUUUCACAUUCAAAUCACAAAAGCAAAAUGGACAUUGUAAAGAACCUGGGUAAUUUUUUAAAUAUUUUCCAAAAUGGCGACGAUUCUGCCGAUUACGAUUAUUUGUUGAUAAAAUUAUUGACCGGUGGAAAAAAAUAUUUUUAUCAAUAUACGAGAUCAAAACUUU